UACGUAGGGUGCAAGCGUUGUCCGGAAUUAUUGGGCGUAAAGAGCUCGUAGGCGGUUUGUCGCGUCUGCUGUGAAAACCCGAGGCUCAACCUCGGGCCUGCAGUGGGUACGGGCAGACUAGAGUGCGGUAGGGGAGAUUGGAAUUCCUGGUGUAGCGGUGGAAUGCGCAGAUAUCAGGAGGAGCACCAAUAGCGAAGGCAGCUCGCUGGGACGUUACUGACACUGAGGCGCGAAAGCGUGGGGAGCGAACAGG
rnacentral:rRNA from 1 species